rnacentral:misc_RNA from 1 species
UCUCCGUUGGUGAACCAGCGGAGGGAUCAUUAGCGAGUUAUCUAACUCCCAACCCUUUGUGAACUUACUAUUGUUGCCUCGGCGGGGCCUACCCGGUACCGCCGACGGACUAUAAAUUCUUAUUUAAUGGAAAUCUGAAUGUCUUAUUUUAAUAAGUAAAAACUUUCAACAACGGAUCUCUUGGUUCUGGCAUCGAUGAAGAACGCAGC